GAUGAACGCUGGCGGCGUGCCUAAUACAUGCAAGUCGAGCGAAGCGGGGAAGGGUGAGUAACACGUGGAUAAACUCCGCUAAGACUGGGAUAAAUUCGGGAAACCGGAGGUAAACCGGAAACGUAUAGAUGGAUACGCGCUGCAUUAGCUAGUGGGAAAGGUAACGGUUUACCAAGGCAACGAUGCAUAGCCGACCUGAGAGGUUGAUCGGCCACACUGGAACUGAGACACGGUCCAGACUCCUACGUGAGGCAGCAGUAGGGAAUCUUCCGCAAUGGGCGAAAGCCUGACGGAGCAACGCCGCGUGAGUGAUGAAGGUCUUCGGAUCGUAAAACUCUGUUAUUAGGGAAGCGGUACCUAAUCAGAAAGCCACGGCUAACUACGUGCCAGCAGCCGCGGUAAUUC
rnacentral:rRNA from 1 species